GCUGGCCCAGCUGGUAGCGGUCCCCGCGCAGCCAGGGGCUGUCGUUCGCCGGGAGCUGUAGCUGCUGCGGUGGAGGGUGUGCGGGCAGGCUGGGACUCUGUGGUUAAGCCCCGGGCGUCUAGCGCCGCGAGUCUGAAUCCGAGCCUCGGCUUCCCACUCAGUAGCUGUGUGGCCAUGGGUAAGGCGUCCAUCCUCACUUUCUCCAUCUGCAAAAGGAAGGUGAUGGCUUCUCAGUGGUGUCGUGGACUCCUGUGAGCUCUCGCGUGUAAGCAAGGGCGCAGUAGGUGUAGCUUUUAUUAUUCCUGAAAGAAAGGGCGCUUCCCAGGUAAGAGCGCAGACCCCAGAAAGCAGACCCUCAAAAAGAGCAUUUGGUUGCAGGCUAGGGAAGGAGAUGAAGCAGACGAAGCUGGAGAAGCACGCAAGAAACCUUAUAUUUUGCAGGGCCUCCCUGUCGACGGUCUGUGGUGAUAUGUUCCAGCAGCCGUAGAAAACAGUGCUGAUUCCGACAAGGAUAUGGUGAUGAACCAAACCGACGAAAAUGCCUGCCACGCGGACCACUGCCAUUCUGUGCCAGGUGCUGUCCUGUGCCCGUGAUGCGUAGUAUCCCUUUAGUUGUCGCAUAGAUCCUAGGAGACGGCUGCUAUUCGAACCCAAGCCAAGUAACUCAGAGACCCUUUCUCUAAGCAUCAUAACCGUGUCCUGCCCGUGACCAAUCAGGCUGUCAGUGUGCGGCAGCUAUUGGGGGUGUGCCAGUGAUCUGCUCAUGUCAUUUCUGAUGCCACUGGCCAGCCGGGUGGAUUGGAUGACCCUGGGUGCCUGGGAGGCUGACCCCUUCUGUUCUCACCACAGCAGGAGAAGGUCUUGUCCAGAGAGAGGAGGAACAUCCUUCGUUCAAGGGUUUAUGAGUGGCAUCCUCUGCCUGUAUGGCCUGCAUCAGCUCAGCUAAUUCAGACUGUGGUGACUAAGGGGCAGGCACUUCUGAGGACUUUAAGAACCUGGAUUUAUUUCAUCCUCACGGUACCCUUAUGAGGUACAUACGUUCUGUUCUCCUCACGUCACAGAUGAGGAAACAGAGGCACAGAGAAGUUAAAUAACUUAACAAAGGUCCCGAGACUUAUCAGGAGCCAAGAUUCAGCCUCUCGACUGUUUUAAGGCUCAUUAAUACAACGGCUACAGUUUAUUGAGCAGCUACUAUGUGUCUGGCACUCUUCGUGUACGUGUCACAACAACCCUUCGAAUGAGGCGCUGUACUAAGCCCCGAAGGUGGAGAAGUGAGUAAGAUUCAGGCAAUAAAAGUAGUGGUCAAGAAGUCGGACUUCGGAGUCUCCAGAACCAUCUGGGUGAUCUUAGGCAAGUCACUUAACUGUUCUGAGACUCAGUUUUCUCAUCCAUAAAAUGGGAAUGGUACCAGGAUCUACCUCCGGGGCAUUAUAAGGAUUAUAUGAGACCCAGCACACGCAGUACUUAGGCUCAGUGCUUGGCACAGCAUGAGUUGUCAGUACGUGUCAGCUGUUGUUAUACAGUUGUUGCUCUAAUAAGAAAGCUCAGUUCCAGGGCGCCUGGGUGGCGCAGUUGGUUAAGCGUCCGACUUCAGCCAGGUCACGAUCUCACGGUCCGUGAGUUCGAGCCCCGCAUUAGGCUCUGGGCUGAUGGCUCGGAGC